rnacentral:rRNA from 1 species
UACGUAGGGGGCAAGCGUUGUCCGGAUUUAUUGGGCGUAAAGCGCGCGCAGGUGGUUCCUUAAGUCUGAUGUGAAAGCCCACGGCUCAACCGUGGAGGGUCAUUGGAAACUGGGGAACUUGAGUGCAGAAGAGGAAAGUGGAAUUCCAAGUGUAGCGGUGAAAUGCGUAGAGAUUUGGAGGAACACCAGUGGCGAAGGCGACUUUCUGGUCUGUAACUGACACUGAGGCGCGAAAGCGUGGGGAGCAAACAGG